rnacentral:rRNA from 1 species
GUUGUAUGGUCAAGUAAUGAAGUGCACAUGGUGGAUGCCUUGGCAGUCAGAGGCGAUGAAAGACGUGAUAGCCUGCGAUAAGCGUCGGUGAGGUGGCAAUAUCCUGUGACCCGGCGAUUUCUGAAUGGGGAAACCCAACCAACACAAGUUGGUUAUUACACAGUUUACUGUGUAAGGCAAACCGGGAGAAGUGAAACAUCUCAGUACCCCGAGGAAAAGACAUCAAAUGAGAUUCCGUAAGUAGCGGCGAGCGAACACGGAGGAGCCGAUCAAUUUUACAGUAGCAAAAUGGCGUGGAAAAGCCAACCAUAGUAGGUGAUAGUCCUGUAUGCGAAACUGUUUAAGCGACAUAUUAAGUAGGGCGGAACACGAGAAAUUCUGUCUGAAGAUGGGGGGACCAUCCUCCAAGGCUAAAUACUCCUGACUGACCGAUAGUGAACCAGUACCGUGAGGGAAAGGCGAAAAGAACCCCUGUUAGGGGAGUGAAAUAGAACCUGAAACCGUGUGCAUACAAGCAGUCGGAGCGGACUUGUUCCGUGACGGCGUACCUUUUGUAUAAUGGGUCAGCGACUUAUAUUCUGUAGCAAGGUUAACCGAAUAGGGGAGCCGUAGGGAAACCGAGUCUUAAUAGGGCGAAUGAGUUGCAGGGUAUAGACCCGAAACCGAGUGAUCUAUCCAUGAGCAGGUUGAAAGUGCCGUAACAGGCACCGGAGGACCGAACCCACUGUCGUUGAAAAGCCAGGGGAUGACUUGUGGAUAGGGGUGAAAGGCUAAUCAAACUCGGUGAUAGCUGGUUCUCCCCGAAAGCUAUUUAGGUAGCGCCUCGGACGAACACCAUUGGGGGUAGAGCACUGUUUCGGCUAGGGGGUCAUCCCGACUUACCAAACCGAUGCAAACUCCGAAUACCGAUGAGUGAUAUCCGGGAGACAGACGGCGGGUGCUAACGUCCGUCGUCAAGAGGGAAACAACCCAGACCGCCAGCUAAGGCCCCAAAUUCCUAGUUAAGUGGGAAACGAUGUGGGAAGGCACAGACAGCUAGGAGGUUGGCUUAGAAGCAGCCACCCUUUAAAGAAAGCGUAAUAGCUCACUAGUCGAGUCGGCCUGCGCGGAAGAUGUAACGGGGCUCAAACUAGGAGCCGAAGCUGCGGAUUUAAUUGUUUCAAUUAAGUGGUAGGGGAGCGUUGUGUAAGCCUGUGAAGGUGCACUGUAAGGUGUGCUGGAGGUAUCACAAGAGCGAAUGCUGACGUGAGUAACGACAAAACGGGUGAAAAGCCCGUUCGCCGGAAGACCAAGGGUUCCAGUCCAACGUUAAUCGGGGCUGGGUGAGUCGACCCCUAAGGCGAGGCCGAAAGGCGUAGUCGAUGGGAAAUCGGUUAAUAUUCCGAUACUUGUUUAUGAUGCGAUGGAGGGACGGAGAAGGUUAUGCCAGCCUGGCGAUGGUUGUCCAGGUGGAAGGAUGUAGUUAGACUGAGUAGGCAAAUCCGCUCGGUUAUUAAUGAGAUCUGAUAGCAAGCCAGUUUACUGGCGAAGUGGCAAAUACCCUGCUUCCAGGAAAAGCUUCUAAGCGAUAGUCAUAAACGAAUCGUACCCGAAACCGACACAGGUGGUCAGGUAGAGAAUACCAAGGCGCUUGAGAGAACUCUGCUGAAGGAACUAGGCAAAAUGGUACCGUAACUUCGGGAGAAGGUACGCUGCCGAUGGUGAUGAAACUUGCUUUCUGAGCUGUUGGCAGUCGCAGAUACCAGGCUGCUGCAACUGUUUAUUAAAAACACAGCACUCUGCAAACACGAAAGUGGACGUAUAGGGUGUGAUGCCUGCCCGGUGCUGGAAGGUUAAUUGAUGGGGUUAGCGUAAGCGAAGCUCUUGAUCGAAGCCCCAGUAAACGGCGGCCGUAACUAUAACGGUCCUAAGGUAGCGAAAUUCCUUGUCGGGUAAGUUCCGACCUGCACGAAUGGCAUAAUGAUGGCAGCGCUGUCUCCAGCAGAGACUCAGUGAAAUCGAAAUCGCAGUGAAGAUGCUGUGUACCCGCGGCUAGACGGAAAGACCCCGUGAACCUUUACUACAGCUUUACAUUGAACUUUGACCUAACUUGUGUAGGAUAGGUGGGAGGCUUUGAAGCAGAUACGCCAGUAUUUGUGGAGCCAACCUUGAAAUACCACCCUGGUUAUGUUGGGGUUCUAACUUAGAUAUAACAGUAUCAAGGACAAUGUAUGGUGGGUAGUUUGACUGGGGCGGUCUCCUCCUAAAGAGUAACGGAGGAGUACGAAGGUGCGCUCAGAACGGUCGGAAAUCGUUCAAAGAGUAUAAAGGCAAAAGCGCGCUUAACUGCGAGACCCACAAGUCGAGCAGGUACGAAAGUAGGUCUUAGUGAUCCGGUGGUUCUGUAUGGAAGGGCCAUCGCUCAACGGAUAAAAGGUACUCUGGGGAUAACAGGCUGAUACCGCCCAAGAGUUCAUAUCGACGGCGGUGUUUGGCACCUCGAUGUCGGCUCAUCUCAUCCUGGGGCUGAAGCAGGUCCCAAGGGUAUGGCUGUUCGCCAUUUAAAGAGGUACGCGAGCUGGGUUUAGAACGUCGUGAGACAGUUCGGUCCCUAUCUACCGUGGGCGUUGGAAAUUUGAGAGGAUCUGCUCCUAGUACGAGAGGACCAGAGUGGACGAACCUCUGGUGUUUCGGUUGUCACGCCAGUGGCAUUGCCGAGUAGCUACGUUCGGAUGGGAUAACCGCUGAAAGCAUCUAAGCGGGAAGCCCACCUCAAGAUGAGAUUUCCCUAAGAGCCGUUGUAGACUACGACGUUGAUAGGUUGGGUGUGGAAGUGUAGUGAUACAUGUAGCUAACCAAUACUAAUUGCUCGUUUGGCUUGACCAUACAACACCCAAG